GUUCUUUAAAAACAAGAAAGCACUAUGUCAUAUACAUGUAUAUAAAAAUAUUGCUUUGGUCAUAUCAAUUGUCAUUGACAAAUCCUCCUUUUUUUUCCCUAAAAACAGGUUGACACAUUCCCUGAUAUCCAGGGUCAUUUUUAGUAACCAAAAUUUAUUAAAUUACAAAAAAAAAUAACUUUACAAAUUAACCCCUUCCCCUCUACACCCUUUUCCAAAUUAAAUUAAUAUAGAUACAACAAGUUUUACUACUUUCAUGGCACUACCAUAUCAGCUGUUUAUUUUAAAUGUCUAUAAAUAGCCAGACAUAGUUGUCUGUUACUUAGGUGUUUUCCCAAGUAUUUUUCCCGCCUAAAAUGAUCAUGUGACAUGUUUGUAAACAAAAGAAAACAUUUGAUCAAGGAAUUCAUUUAUUUUCUGGAUUAUUCUGCUUUUAAUAAUUUUAGUUUGGAUUUUUUAUUCAUUUCAUUUAAGGUACAGUCAAGCAUUUGUAUUUAAAAAAUAGUUUGCAAAGAAUUUUUACUUUUCAAUUUGACAAAUGUCUCAUGAUCGCCGUUCAUUGGCUUGUUCAACCAUGCAAACAAUGUAAAUUAUGUAAAUUAGAAAUCUAUCAGCUGUAAAAAAAAUUAUCUAAGCAUCACAUCGAUGUUUUUUCAUUAAUCUUCUAGGCAAAACGAUGUUUCUGGGACUUGGGGGAUACAAUCAGGACGCGUGAUUAGUAUCUGUAUUCACUAUUCAAUCUAUUGCAGUUUGCUAAUCAGCUGAUUACGAAAUCGAUUACAAAAUGGCGACCUAGUGAACUUUUGUUUUGAAGGGAAAUAACUCGAGCGGUAUUCAUAAAAUAUGUCUUUCAGUACCGGUUGUUAAUUACGACGAUAAAGGCAUGGCGUCAGGAAUUUCGACAAAAUUAGGGCAGGGCGCCAAUUUUUUUUCCCAAAAAGGGCAGGGCGUCGAGAAAUCGCGGCAGGGCGCCAUUACACGCCAAAACCACCUGUAGGAAACACUAUU
rnacentral:lncRNA from 1 species